rnacentral:rRNA from 1 species
GCAGCGGAAAGUAGCUUGCUACUUUGCCGGCGAGCGGCGGACGGGUGAGUAAUGUCUGGGAAACUGCCUGAUGGAGGGGGAUAACUACUGGAAACGGUAGCUAAUACCGCAUAACGUCGCAAGACCAAAGAGGGGGACCUUCGGGCCUCUUGCCAUCAGAUGUGCCCAGAUGGGAUUAGCUAGUAGGUGGGGUAACGGCUCACCUAGGCGACGAUCCCUAGCUGGUCUGAGAGGAUGACCAGCCACACUGGAACUGAGACACGGUCCAGACUCCUACGGGAGGCAGCAGUGGGGAAUAUUGCACAAUGGGCGCAAGCCUGAUGCAGCCAUGCCGCGUGUAUGAAGAAGGCCUUCGGGUUGUAAAGUACUUUCAGCGGGGAGGAAGGCGUUGAGGUUAAUAACCUCAGCAAUUGACGUUACCC